UGAGGAAUUUUGCGCAAUGGGAGCAAUCCUAACGCAGCAACGCCGCGUGGGUGAUGAAGGCCUUCGGGUCGUAAAGCCCUGUCAGGUGGGAAGAAUGUCCCGGAAUUGAACAGGUUUCGGGAGUGACGGUACCACCAGAGGAAGCACCGGCUAACUCCGUGCCAGCAGCCGCGGUAAUACGAAGGGUGCAAGCGUUAUUCGGAAUUACUGGGCGUAAAGUGCGUGUAGGCGGUCCUGCAAGUCUGAUGUGAAAGCCCCGGGCUUAACCCGGGAAGUGCAUUGGAAACUGCAGGUCUUGAGUACUGGAGAGGAUUGGGGAAUUCCCGGUGUAGAGGUGAAAUUCGUAGAGAUCGGGAGGAAUAUCAGUGGCGAAGGCGCCCAUCUGGACGGUAACUGACGCUGAGACGCGAAAGCGUGGGGAGCAAACA
rnacentral:rRNA from 1 species